GCGCCCGCAGCGCAACAGAGGCCAAACACCUAGGUCUUAGAAACGCGUUUUCAAUACGUCACUCGUUCGCCGGAAAUGUGGUGAAAUAUGACAAACCAGCCGGAAUUGGUUGUGAUUCACUACCGUGCAGGUCCUGCAUACUGACAACAUAUUGUGGCGAAGUGCAGUUAACAGGCUGACUGCCAGAGGUUCAAUGCAAGAUUCCAGUUGAAAUAUAUCUUCAAAUGUCUGACAAGAUAUACUGACUGUUUUCCACAUUUGUCUUAUGAUGUCUUUAUUAAGUCUUUUGUCACCAUCAUCAUUGAGGGCACAGGUCAGCAAUAUUCACAUGCAAGCUGUAAGGCUGGCAUCCAAGAAGACAGGAGGAAGCACCAAGUAUGGUUCUAACCGCCGUGGGCGGCCCCAUCACUAUGGUUGGAAGGCGCAGGAUGGCCAGCUUGUGACAGCUGGCAGCAUUCUAGUGAAACAGCGCACGCUCCGCUUCCAUCCCGGCGAGAACGUCCGGAUUG